AUGCCGCCCAGCCCGCACCUCUCAGUCUACUCUCCAAAACCACCAAAAUCUCCAUCCAAGAUCCAACUGCUCCACCACUCCAAUCUCCCUCUCAUAGCGACGGCCACCGCGACUCGGCCCAGCGGCCCGGUACUGUCGACCCCGAGCUACCGCUCCGCCUCGCCCACCCGCGUCAAGCUCGCCACCGGCAGCGCCACCCGCUCGCCGGGCAAGUCCGUCAGCGUCUCGUCCCCGCCCUCCACCAGGAGCCGUCGGUCCUCCUGCAUGUGCUCCCCGACGAACCACCCGGGCUCCUUCCGCUGCAGCCUCCACAAGGAGCGCAAGCAGGCGGCCCCCGCCGGCAGCAGCACCAGGCCCGCCUCCCCGCCUUCCCCGCCGUCCACCUCGAAGAGCACGGGCGGCGCGCUGGCGCGGCUCGUCCCCAUAGGGAGCGGGCACUGGGCACGCAGGGCGCUCGCGCCGUCCCCCGCGGCGCAGCAGUCGCUGCAGCACCGGAGGCGCGCGGGCGGAUUCCGUCCCCGACCGAGCCGGCUCUCCGCCGUGUCCACGGCCGGCGACAGCCAGUAA
rnacentral:rRNA from 1 species